GCCACAUUGAAACACCGGUUCUCGUACGAUCACCGAUAUUAAGCAACGUCAAUCAUGGUCAGUACAUAAAUGGGUGACCGCUUGGGAAUAGCAGAAGCUGAA